rnacentral:tRNA from 1 species
GCGAAGGUCGCGGACGACGCGUGGCGAUCGAUCUGCAGCGCGAUGGAGCAGGAAUAUCGCGCCGGCCGGUUCGAAUCCGGCGCCAUUGCG